rnacentral:rRNA from 1 species
CCUACGGGAGGCAGCAGUGGGGAAUCUUGGACAAUGGGCGCAAGCCUGAUCCAGCAAUGCCGCGUGAGUGAAGAAGGCCUUCGGGUUGUAAAGCUCUUUUGUCGGGAAAGAAACGGUUCUGGUUAAUACCUGGGGCUAAUGACGGUACCUGAAGAAUAAGCACCGGCUAACUACGUGCCAGCAGCCGCGGUAAUACGUAGGGUGCAAGCGUUAAUCGGAAUUACUGGGCGUAAAGCGUGCGCAGGCGGUUAUGUAAGACAGAUGUGAAAUCCCCGGGCUCAACCUGGGAACUGCAUUUGUGACUGCAUGGCUAGAGUGUGGCAGAGGGGGGUAGAAUUCCACGUGUAGCAGUGAAAUGCGUAGAGAUGUGGAGGAACACCGAUGGCGAAGGCAGCCCCCUGGGAUAACACUGACGCUCAUGCACGAAAGCGUGGGGAGCAAACAAGGAUUAGAUACCCUGGUAG